CGAAAGGCGUAGUCGAUGGGAAUCAGGUUAAUAUUCCUGAGCCAGAUGGAAGUGACGAAUUGCGAAGGUUGUUCAUCCUUAUCGGAUUGGAUGGGCCGCUCAGCAGUUCCUGGAAAUAGCUCCAUCAUGAGAUCGUACCCUAAACCGACACAGGUGGACUGGUAGAGAAUACCAAGGCGCUUGAGAGAACGAUGUUGAAGGAACUCGGCAAAAUACCUCCGUAAGUUCGCGAGAAGGAGGCCCAGUUUCUACGCAAGUAUUGGCUGGGGGCACAAACCAGGGGGUGGCGACUGUUUAUUAAAAACACAGGGCUCUGCGAAGUCGCAAGACGACGUAUAGGGUCUGACGCCUGCCCGGUGCCUGAAGGUUAAAAGGAGAGGUGAGAGCCUUGAAUUGAAGCCCAGGUAAACGGCGGCCGUAACAAUAACGGU
rnacentral:rRNA from 14 species